GACGGAGGAUGCAAGUGUUAUCCGGAAUCACUGGGCGUAAAGCGUCUGUAGGUGGUUUAAUAAGUCAACUGUUAAAUCUUGAGGCUCAACCUCAAAAUCGCAGUCGAAACUAUUAGGCUAGAGUAUAGUAGGGGUAAAGGGAAUUUCCAGUGGAGCGGUGAAAUGCGUAGAGAUUGGAAAAGAACACCGAUGGCGAAGGCACUUUACUGGGCUAUUACUAACACCCAGAGACGAAAGCUAGGGUAGCAAAUGGG
rnacentral:rRNA from 1 species